AGGGGCGGUGGUCAGAGAACCAGGUGUGGUGCCGCCUGGGACUCCAGCUGGUGAGGGGUGGGGGGGGAAUUGACCCCGCCCCAGAGUGCGGGGGUGUUGAGUGGUAGGUGAGUGGGUUCCUGGAUCCACACCUACCCUCUUGGCCACAGCAUGGUAGCUGGUUGCUGGGCUGCCCUCGGGAAUGGAUUGAAUGGGUCAGGAAUCAGAAGCAGGAUUUUCCUGCGUGCCCCCCUGGCCUGGGUCAGAAGGCUAAUGCAUUUUGGAGAAAGGAUCCAGAAAGAUUUCUCACUUCUCCUAAAGGCAAGCAGAACAACUUUUAAAACCCCACCAGACAAAGCCUGGAAUCUGAGCUGGUUUCUUGUGAGGUUAGCAUCCAGGAAAGGGUGAAUGAACUGCGUCGGGGGGAGUCUGAGCCGGUUCCAAGAUAGAACCUUUGGCAUCCAUCAUACCAGCCCUGCCUUCUCCAAAGGACUUCACCAAAUAGCACCAAAGGGCUUCAAGCAAAGGGAUGGUAACGUCUGGAUUACCGUAUUUCAUCAAGUUUAAGAUGCUGUCAGUUA